GGGCCAAACAGUCAAUGUUGGAGGAGCCAUCCAGAGGAUCAAAGCAGACUAUAUACUUUCCCUGUGACAAACAGCAGCCUGAACUGAGUAUGCAGCCGAAAUGAGACGGCGACCUCAUGUGGAGCCUGACUGACUUUAUGAAAAGAGCAGCAUAAACCUUCUGCCUAUCAUCUUCUUUUGUGGAAAGAAAAACAUACUACAAGUUUGGAACGACAUGAGGAUGACAGGAGUGUAGAUGACAUCCUUGUUCUCCUCGGAAACCAUCAAACAGGUGCCAUAAGAGGCCUGCAGCAUGUUGAUGAUCAGAUCAUUGGAAAGCACAUCCAACUUCUUCUGCUCGUCACCUGUGACAUUCACAUGCCCGGC